rnacentral:snoRNA from 1 species
GUGCGUGAUGAUGACUAAUCGCUCUUAGCCUCAUACUUCGCUGAGACAUUGCGUCACUGAGGACAAAACUCAAGGGCCUGAACCGCAC